GGGUAACGGCCCACCGUGGCGACGAUCGGUAGGGGUUCUGAGAGGAAGGUCCCCCACAUUGGGAACUGAGACACGGUCCAAACUCCUACGGGAGGCAGCAGUGAGGAAUAUUGGUCAAUGGGCGAGAGCCUGAACCAGCCAAGUAGCGUGAGGGGAAGACUGCCCUAUGGGUUGUAAACCUCUUUUGUGCGGGGAUAAAGUGAGGGACGUGUCCCUCAUUGCAGGUACCGCACGAAUAAGGACCGGCUAAUUCCGUGCCAGCAGCCGCGGUAAUACGGAAGGUCCGGGCGUUAUCCGGAUUUAUUGGGUUUAAAGGGAGCGCAGGCCGUCCUUUAAGCGUGCUGUGAAAUGCCGCGGCUCAACCGUGGCACUGCAGCGCGAACUGGAGGACUUGAGUACGCACGAGGUAGGCGGAAUUCGUGGUGUAGCGG
rnacentral:rRNA from 1 species